UUGAGCGCCCCUGGCUCACUUCCCCACUCCCAAGCCCCCGCCCGAGCCCCGCCGGUGUGGCACACGUCGUCUGGUCGCCACAAGGCGGAGAUCUCGGGCCUGAGGCCGAGGCCGGAGCCUUGCUGGGAGGAUCGCGGGCCAGUGGCCCUCAUCCCCGCCUCGGCAUCCGCCGCUGACGUCGCGUGAGAAGUCUGGGGAGGGAGGAGCUCCGAAAGGCGGGCUCGGGUGGCUGGCAGCGCCUGGGAGGGCCAGGUCGGAGAGAGGAAGCUCCUCCCCUGUGCGCCCCGCCGCCGCAGAGUUGACCAGUCUCUUGAAGAGAAGAGUCCGCUCCGGCUCCGGAUAAGCAGCGGCUUGGCGUGCGCUGCGCGGAGAAUGGACGGCCUCGUGACCUCAUGUCCGGCAGGCUGUAGUGCCUGCCGAUACGGCUCGCGCAGGGGGUGGAGCCGCGGGAGCGGCUGGCACUUCCGGAAUCGAUCGGCUGCUUGAGUGCCCGCGCCACCCGCUACCAUGAACGAGGAGGCCAUCUGCAGCGCCCUGCCCACCAUCCCGUACCACAAGCUCGCCGACUUGCGCUACCUGAGCCGCGGCGCGUCCGGCACCGUGUCUUCUGCCCGCCACGCAGACUGGCGCGUUCGGGUGGCCGUGAAACACCUGCACAUUCACAGCCCGCUGCUCGACAGUGAUUGGUGAAUUAUUCUCUGUAACCUGACUUCUGCCCAUGAGAGGACCUUCCCCAGCAAUCUCCCAACGCCUUAUGAAUAGGUACUGUUCCAGAUCCUGGGGAGACACAGAUGACAAAGAAAGGCAAAAUCUCUCCCAUCUUGGGGAGGGACCACAUAUCUUGGAUGCCCUUUUUCCAGUGGUUGAAAUUCUAUCCAUC